rnacentral:lncRNA from 1 species
UGUCUGGCAUACUGUGUCUAAUACGAUUAUGUGUUAAAAUACAUACUAAACUUUCGCCUCAUUUCUUCAUUUUCCUAUUAUGCAUCAGUCUGACUUAAAUCAUUAUCUUUAAAUUGUCAUAAAUGCUACAAAUAAGUAUAGCCAUUCAAAUCUGACAACAAAAGGGUCCUUGCUACUUAGUUCAAAUACUUUUCCGGAUCACAGAUUUAAUGCGUUGGUAACGCCUUUAGCAUUUUUGAAAUAAAGAUGUAAAUCAUAAACGUCAAAAUAGAGUAUAGUGUUGUCACUUUUGUGUCCAAUAGCAUCUUCUAAAUAACGGAAAGGACGGAGAUAUAUAUGUGUUUAGAUUAAAACUGGACAACCAAUGGACAGUUACCUGGUAACUUAUACUGAAUGACUUUAUUC